rnacentral:lncRNA from 1 species
UUGUAUGAUCUAUUAACUGGAGUUUUAAAUUAACUAAAGCAAUGUUUUGCAACACCUAUAUGUUACUAUCUUUUUUGAAAUGUGACUGAUAUAUUUGUCGCUGGACAUGAAGCAGCUACAUCUAAUAAAACGUGUUCAUCAAUGCCUUGUAGUAUUGAUUGAUUUAUUAAGAAACAUAAAUUAUAAUAUCAGUUUGUACUUGUUUCAAACAAGUAUAUGACUAAGAAGUGUCAGAAGAUUUAAAAGAAAGGUAGGGAGGGUACAGCAUCAGUAAUAGAGGGCCUGUGUUUAAAGGUCUUUGUGUCCAUCACUAUUUUAGUGUGGAGACCUUUAAGUAUAAACUUUAUAAAGUUUUAACUUUAUAUUUUAAGUUACACUAGUCAGUUCGUUGUUUAACUUUAGGACGACACCUUUAUAUAUAGAAUUUUUUGUUUCUUACUACGAAAGGGUGUGGUUUAUGACCAAGGAUUGCAAAAUUUCGGAGAAUGUAUCGCGCAGUCAUUAUUUGGAUGCAUCAUUCGGUAGCUAAGUAGACAUGUCGUUGGGAAGCACAAUUGUGAUACACUGACUGUGUCUGUAAAGAUUAUAUGCGCAAAAUGUCAAUAGAGUUACGUCCCUGCUAAACUGAAGUCUGUAGGUUUCAGCUCUGGAGUUCCCAGUGAAGACAUGUUUUUUGUUUUUUUUUUUUUUUUUUGGCAAACACACAUUUUUUUAAGAUUUACAGUUACUAAAUAAAACAAAAGUUGAAAUCUGUAGUACAUCUUAACACAAACUCGUGUGCUUACUUAUUAUGAACUGCUUAAUGACAUGAAAUAUAAAGUCAUUUAGACACAUGGGAAAAGUCGCACUUUUAAAAACAACGAUUUUUACGCUGAUUAAGUAGACAGAGUUGCCUUUCAUACAUUUUUGACACUUCAUCCCACAAUGCCAUCCGAAAAAGUUCAAAUUUAAAGAAAUGAUGAUACACAUCACUAUCAAACAAAUAACUUAUAAUGUUAAGCUAUACAUUUUCACAUAAAAGACACAGUAUACUUAUAGUUUACAUUCAUAAAACUGUCAGGAACUAUAUUUAUAGACAACCAAUAUACGAGUGACCAAACAGGUCGUUUUUGAAGAAAGAAAAAUAUCCUUGCUUUUUUUUUCUAUUAAGUCCUUUGGUCUUCUCUUCUGCAUUUUCUCACUUUAUUAUACAUAUGCAAUAACAUUUUUAACUGCAUGUUUGCAAAUAUAUAGUGUGCAACAAACAGAUUGUGGGGUAAACGUCAAUGAGACAGCAACCUAGCGACAAAAAUAUGCAAACGACAUGUGCACGCUGAACGGAGAAAAGGAGAUGCGAGUUUCCCUCAAUGAGACAGCAUCCCAACGACUACAGAUAUAUAUAUGAAUGACAUAUUCACUUUGCUGAUGCUACCAUUUGUUUGGGUUUUUUUUCAAGCUGUUUUUUUUUUUUUUUUGCUGAUAAAAAAAAACUGUCCGCAAUGACAAAGCCAGUAGUGAUGAAAGUGGCAUUAAACACCAAAAAAGCAAUAAAAUAAAUCAGGGUUUAUCAAGACCCUUUCCUACACCGUAUUUGGUUUGGUAAACAAGAAUCCGUUGAAGGGAUUUUAAAUUGACUAAGGCAAUGUUUUGCAACACAUACAUGUAUUAUGACUGAUAUAUUUGUCGCUGGACAUGAAGCAGAUUCAUCGAUGAUUAAAAGUUCUUCUUGAAUGCUUUGUAUGAUCUAUUAACUGGAGUUUUAAAUUAACUAAAGCAAUGUUUUGCAACACCUAUAUGUUACUAUCUUUUUUGAAAUGUGACUGAUAUAUUUGUCGCUGGACAUGAAGCAGCUACAUCUAAUAAAAUGUGUUCAUCAAUGCCUUGUAGUAUUGAUUGAUUUAUUAAGAAACAUAAAUUAUAAUAUCAGUUUGUACUUGUUUCAAACAAGUAUAUGACUAAGAAGUGUCAGAAGAUUUAAAAGAAAGGUAGGGAGGGUACAGCAUCAGUAAUAGAGGGCCUGUGUUUAAAGGUCUUUGUGUCCAUCACUAUUUUAGUGUGGAGACCUUUAAGUAUAAACUUUAUAAAGUUUUAACUUUAUAUUUUAAGUUACACUAGUCAGUUCGUUGUUUAACUUUAGGACGACACCUUUAUAUAUAGAAUUUUUUUGUCUUACUACGAAAGGGUGUGGUUUAUGACCAAGGAUUGCAAAAUUUCGGAGAAUGUAUCGCGCAGUCAUUAUUUGGAUGCAUCAUUCGGUAGCUAAGUAGACAUGUCGUUGGGAAGCACAAUUGUGAUACACUGACUGUGUCUGUAAAGAUUCUAUGCGCAAAAUGGCAAUAGAGUUACGUCCCUGCUAAACUGAAGUCUGUAGGUUUCAGCUCUGGAGUUCCCAGUGAAGACAUAUUUUUUUUUUUUUUUUUUUUUUGGCAAACACACACAUUUUUUAAGAUUUACAGUUACUAAAUAAAACAAAAGUUGAAAUCUGUAGUACAUCUUAACACAAACUCGUGUGCUUACUUAUUAUGAACUGCUUAAUGACAUGAAAUAUAAAGUCAUUUAGACACAUGGGAAAAGUCGCACUUUUAAAACAACGAUUUUUACGCUGAUUAAGUAGACAGAGUUGCCUUUCAUACAUUUUUGACACUUCAUCCCACAAUGCAAUCCGAAAAAGUUCAAAUUUCAAGAAAUGAUGAUACAUAUCACUAUCAAACAAAUAACUUAUAAUGUUAAGCUAUACAUUUUCACAUAAAAGACACAGUAUACUUAUAGUUUACAUUCAUAAAACUGUCAGGAACUAUAUUUAUAGACAACCAAUAUACGAGUGACCAAACAGGUCGUUUUUGAAGAAAGAAAAAUAUCCUUGCUUUUUUUUUCUAUUAAGUCCUUUGGUCUUCUCUUCUGCAUUUUCUCACUUUAUUAUACAUAUGCAAUAACAUUUUUAACUGCAUGUUUGCAAAUAUAUAGUGUGCAACAAACAGAUUGUGGGGUAAACGUCAAUGAGACAGCAACCUAGCGACAAAAAUAUGCAAAACGACAUGUGCACGCUGAACGGAGAAAAGGAGAUGCGAGUUUCCCUCAAUGAGACAGCAUCCCAACGACUACAGAUAUAUAUGAAUGACAUAUUCACUUUGCUGAUGCUACCAUUUGUUUGGGUUUUUUUUCAAGCUGUUUUUUUUUUUUUUUUUUGCUGAUAAAAAAAACCUGUCCGCAAUGACAAAGCCAGUGGUGAUGAAAGUGGCAUUAAACACCAAAAAAGCAAUAAAAUAAAUCAGGGUUUAUCAAGACCCUUUCCUACACCGUAUUUGGUUUGGUAAACAAGAAUCCGUUGAAGGGAUUUUAAAUUGACUAAGGCAAUGUUUUGCAACACAUACAUGUACUAUCUUCUUGUAUUAUGACUGAUAUAUUUGUCGCUGGACAUGAAGCAGAUUCAUCGAUGAUUAAAAGUUCUUCUUGAAUGCUUUGUAUGAUCUAUUAACUGGAGUUUUAAAUUAACUAAAGCAAUGUUUUGCAACACCUAUAUGUUACUAUCUUUUUUGAAAUGUGACUGAUAUAUUUUGUCGCUGGACAUGAAGCAGCUACAUCUAAUAAAAUGUGUUCAUCAAUGCCUUGUAGUAUUGAUUGAUUUAUUAAGAAACAUAAAAUUAUAAUAUCAGUUUGUACUUGUUUCAAACAAGUAUAUGACUAAGAAGUGUCAGAAGAUUUAAAAGAAAGGUAGGGAGGGUACAGCAUCAGUAAUAGAGGGCCUGUGUUUAAAGGUCUUUGUGUCCAUCACUAUUUUAGUGUGGAGACCUUUAAGUAUAAACUUUAUAAAGUUUUAACUUUAUAUUUUAAGUUACACUAGUCAGUCGUUGUUAAACUUUAGGACGACACCUUUAUAUAUAGAAUUUUUUUUCUUACUACGAAAGGGUUGUGUUUUAUGACCAAGGAUUGCAAAAAUUUCGGAGAAUGUAUCGCGCAGUCAUUAUUUGGAUGCAUCAUUCGGUAGCUAAGUAGACAUGUCGUUGGGAAGCACAAUUGUGAUACACUGACUGUGUCUGUAAAGAUUCUAUGCGCAAAAUGGCAAUAGAGUUACGUCCCUGCUAAACUGAAGUCUGUAGGUUUCAGCUCUGGAGUUCCCAGUGAAGACAUAUUUUUUUUUUUUUUUUGUUUUUUUGGCAAACACACAUUUUUUAAGAUUUACAGUUACUAAAUAAAACAAAAGUUGAAAUCUGUAGUACAUCUUAACACAAACUCGUGUGCUUACUUAUUAUGAACUGCUUAAUGACAUGAAAUAUAAAGUCAUUUAGACACAUGGGAAAAGUCGCACUUUUAAAACAACGAUUUUUUACGCUGAUUAAGUAGACAGAGUUGCCUUUCAUACAUUUUUGACACUUCAUCCCACAAUGCAAUCCGAAAAAGUUCAAAUUUCAAGAAAUGAUGAUACAUAUCACUAUCAAACAAAUAACUUAUAAUGUUAAGCUAUACAUUUUCACAUAAAAGACACAGUACUUAUAGUUUACAUUCAUAAAACUGUCAGGAACUAUAUUUAUAGACAACCAAUAUACGAGUGACCAAACAGGUCGUUUUUGAAGAAAGAAAAAUAUCCUUGCUUUUUUUUUCUAUUAAGUCCUUUGGUCUUCUCUUCUGCAUUUCUCUCACUUUAUUAUACAUAUGCAAUAACAUUUUUAACUGCAUGUUUGCAAAUAUAUAGUGUGCAACAAACAGAUUGUGGGGUAAACGUCAAUGAGACAGCAACCUAGCGACAAAAAUAUGCAAACGACAUGUGCACGCUGAACGGAGAAAAGGAGAUGCGAGUUUCCCUCAAUGAGACAGCAUCCCAACGACUACAGAUAUAUAUGAAUGACAUAUUCACUUUGCUGAUGCUACCAUUUGUUUGGUUUUUUUUCAAGCUGUUUUUUUUUUUUUUUUUUGCUGAUAAAAAAAAAACUGUCCGCAAUGACAAAGCCAGUGGUGAUGAAAGUGGCAUUAAACACCAAAAAAGCAAUAAAAUAAAUCAGGGUUUAUCAAGACCCUUUCCUACACCGUAUUUGGUUUGGUAAACAAGAAUCCGUUGAAGGGAUUUUAAAUUGACUAAGGCAAUGUUUUGCAACACAUACAUGUACUAUCUUCUAUUAGACUGAUAUAUUUGUCGCUGGACAUGAAGCAGAUUCAUCGAUGAUUAAAAGUUCUUCUUGAAUGCUUUGUAUGAUCUAUUAACUGGAGUUUUAAAUUAACUAAAGCAAUGUUUUGCAACACCUAUAUGUUACUAUCUUUUUUGAAAUGUGACUGAUAUAUUUGUCGCUGGACAUGAAGCAGCUACAUCUAAUAAAAUGUGUUCAUCAAUGCCUUGUAGUAUUGAUUGAUUUAUUAAGAAACAUAAAUUAUAAUAUCAGUUUGUACUUGUUUCAAACAAGUAUAUGACUAAGAAGUGUCAAAGAUUUAAAAGAAAGGUAGGGAGGGUACAGCAUCAGUUAGAGGGCCUGUGUUUAAAGGUCUUUGUGUCCAUCACUAUUUUAGUGUGGAGACCUUUAAGUAUAAACUUAUUAAAGUUUUAAUUUAUAUUUUAAGUUCGUUGUUUAACUUUAGGACGACACCUUUAUAUAUAGAAUUUUUUUUCUUACUACGAAAGGGUGUGUUUUAUGACCAAGGAUUGCAAAAUUUCGGAGAAUGUAUCGCGCAGUCAUUAUUUGGAUGCAUCAUUCGGUAGCUAAGUAGACAUGUCGUUGGGAAGCACAAUUGUGAUACACUGACUGUGUCUGUAAAGAUUCUAUGCGCAAAAUGGCAAUAGAGUUACGUCCCUGCUAAACUGAAGUCUGUAGGUUUCAGCUCUGGAGUUCCCAGUGAAGACAUAUUUUUUUUUUUUUUUUUUUUUUUUGGCAAACACACAUUUUUUAAGAUUUACAGUUACUAAAUAAAACAAAAGUUGAAAUCUGUAGUACAUCUUAACACAAACUCGUGUGCUUACUUAUUAUGAACUGCUUAAUGACAUGAAAUAUAAAGUCAUUUAGACACAUGGGAAAAGUCGCACUUUUAAAACAACGAUUUUUACGCUGAUUAAGUAGACAGAGUUGCCUUUCAUACAUUUUUGACACUUCAUCCCACAAUGCAAUCCGAAAAAGUUCAAAUUUCAAGAAAUGAUGAUACACAUCACUAUCAAACAAAUAACUUAUAAUGUUAAGCUAUACAUUUUCACAUAAAAGACACAGUAUACUUAUAGUUUACAUUCAUAAAUAUGUCAGGAACUAUAUUUAUAGACAACCAAUAUACGAGUGACCAAACAGGUCGUUUUUGAAGAAAGAAAAAUAUAUCCUUGCUUUUUUCUUUUCUAUUAAGUCCUUUGGUCUUCUCUUCUGCAUUUUCUCACUUUAUUAUACAUAUGCAAUAACAUUUUUAACUGCAUGUUUGCAAAUAUAUAGUGUGCAACAAACAGAUUGUAGGGGUAAACGUCAAUGAGACAGCAACCUAGCGACAAAAAUAUGCAAACGACAUGUGCACGCUGAACGGAGAAAAGGAGAUGCGAGUUUCCCUCAAUGAGACAGCAUCCCAACGACUACAGAUAUAUAUGAAUGACAUAUUCACUUUGCUGAUGCUACCAUUUGUUUGGGUUUUUUUCAAGCUGUUUUUUUUUUUUUUUUUUUUGCUGAUAAAAAAAAACUGUCCGCAAUGAAAAAGCCAGUAGUGAUGAAAGUGGCAUUAAACACAAACAAAAGCAAUAAAAUAAAUCAGGGUUUAUAAAGACGUUUCCUACACCGUAUUUGGUUUGGUAAACAAGAAUCCGUUGAAGGGAUUUUAAAUUGACUAAGGCAAUGUUUUGCAACACAUGUACUAUCUUUAUUAUGACUGAUAUAUUUGUCGCUGGACAUGAAGCAGAUUCAUCGAUGAUUAAAAGUUCUUCUUGAAUGCUUUGUAUGAUCUAUUAACUGGAGUUUUAAAUUAACUAAAGCAAUGUUUUGCAACACCUAUAUGUUACUAUCUUUUUUGAAAUGUGACUGAUAUAUUUGUCGCUGGACAUGAAGCAGCUACAUCUAAUAAAAUGUGUUCAUCAAUGCCUUGUAGUAUUGAUUGAUUUAUUAAGAAACAUAAAUUAUAAUAUCAGUUUGUACUUGUUUCAAACAAGUAUAUGACUAAGAAGUGUCAGAAGAUUUAAAAGAAAGGUAGGGAGGGUACAGCAUCAGUAAUAGAGGGCCUGUGUUUAAAGGUCUUUGUGUCCAUCACUAUUUUAGUGUGGAGACCUUUAAGUAUAAACUUUAUAAAGUUUUAACUUUAUAUUUUAAGUUACACUAGUCAGUUCGUUGUUAAACUUUAGGACGACACCUUUAUAUAUAGAAUUUUUUUUGUCUUACUACGAAAGGGUGUGGUUUUAUGACCAAGGAUUGCAAAAUUUCGGAGAAUGUAUCGCGCAGUCAUUAUUUGGAUGCAUCAUUCGGUAGCUAAGUAGACAUGUCGUUGGGAAGCACAAUUGUGAUACACUGACUGUGUCUGUAAAGAUUCUAUGCGCAAAAUGGCAAUAGAGUUACGUCCCUGCUAAACUGAAGUCUGUAGGUUUCAGCUCUGGAGUUCCCAGUGAAGACAUAUUUUUUUUUUUUUUUUUUUUUUUUUUGGCAAACACACAUUUUUUAAGAUUUACAGUUACUAAAUAAAACAAAAGUUGAAAUCUGUAGUACAUCUUAACACAAAACUCGUGUGCUUACUUAUUAUGAACUGCUUAAUGACAUGAAAUAUAAAGUCAUUUAGACACAUGGGAAAAGUCGCACUUUUAAAACAACGAUUUUACGCUGAUUAAGUAGACAGAGUUGCCUUUCAUACAUUUUUGACACUUCAUCCCACAAUGCAAUCCGAAAAAGUUCAAAUUUCAAGAAAUGAUGAUACAUAUCACUAUCAAACAAAUAACUUAUAAUGUUAAGCUAUACAUUUUCACAUAAAAGACACAGUACUUAUAGUUUACAUUCAUAAAACUGUCAGGAACUAUAUUUAUAGACAACCAAUAUACGAGUGACCAAACAGGUCGUUUUUGAAGAAAGAAAAAUAUCCUUGCUUUUUUUUUCUAUUAAGUCCUUUGGUCUUCUCUUCUGCAUUUUCUCACUUUAUUAUACAUAUGCAAUAACAUUUUUAACUGCAUGUUUGCAAAUAUAUAGUGUGCAACAAACAGAUUGUGGGGUAAACGUCAAUGAGACAGCAACCUAGCGACAAAAAUAUGCAAACGACAUGUGCACGCUGAACGGAGAAAAGGAGAUGCGAGUUUCCCUCAAUGAGACAGCAUCCCAACGACUACAGAUAUAUAUGAAUGACAUAUUCACUUUGCUGAUGCUACCAUUUGUUUGGGUUUUUUUCAAGCUGUUUUUUUUUUUUUUUUUUGCUGAUAAAAAAAAAACUGUCCGCAAUGACAAAGCCAGUGGUGAUGAAAGUGGCAUUAAACACCAAAAAAAGCAAUAAAAUAAAUCAGGGUUUAUCAAGACCCUUUCCUACACCGUAUUUGGUUUGGUAAACAAGAAUCCGUUGAAGGGAUUUUAAAUUGACUAAGGCAAUGUUUUGCAACACAUACAUGUACUAUCUUCUUGUAUUAUGACUGAUAUAUUUGUCGCUGGACAUGAAGCAGAUUCAUCGAUGAUUAAAAGUUCUUCUUGAAUGCU